GAGUUUGAUCGUGGCUCAGGACGAACGCUGGCGGCGCGCCUAACACAUGCAAGUCGAACGGAGUUAUUCUGAAUGAAGUUUUCGGAUGGAUUUUGGAUUAACUUAGUGGCGAACGGGUGAGUAACGCGUGAGUAACCUGCCCUGGAGUGGGGGACAACAGUUAGAAAUGACUGCUAAUACCGCAUAAGCACACGUGAUCGCAUGAUCGAGUGUGAAAAACUCCGGUGGUAUGAGAUGGACCCCCGCGUCUGAUUAGCUAGUUGGUGGGUAAUGGCCCACCAAGGCGACGAUCAGUAGCCGGCCUGAGAGGGUGAACGGCCACAUUGGGACUGAGACACGGCCCAAACUCCUACGGGAGGCAGCAGUGGGAAUAUUGCACAAUGGGGGAAACCCUGAUGCAGCGACGCCGCGUGAAGGAUGAAGUAUUUCGG
rnacentral:rRNA from 1 species